GACGAACGCUGGCGGCGUGCCUAAUACAUGCAAGUCGAACGGACAGGCCCUGCUUUUGUGGGGUGCUCGAGUGCCGAACGGGUGUGUAUCACGUGUGUAACCUGCCCUUGACUUUGGGAUAACUUUACGAAACUGGGGCUAAUAUCGGAUAGGAGCUCCUGCUGCAUGGUGGGGGAUGGAAAGUUUCGGCGGUUGGGGAUGGACUCGCGGCUUAUCAGCUUGUUUGUGGGGUAGUGGCUUACCAAGGCUUUGACGGGUAGCCGGCCUGAGAGGGGGAACGGCCACCAUGGGACUGAGAGAGGGCCCAGACGCCUACGGGAGGCAGCGGGGGAGAAUAUUGCAGAGUGGGCGGAAGCCUGAUGCAACAACGCCGCGUGCGGGAUGACGGCCUUCGGGUUAUAAACCGCUUUCGACGGUGACGUGGCGUGAGUGACGGUAAUGGAUAAAGAAGCCCCGGCUAACUACGUG
rnacentral:rRNA from 1 species